GUGUCGUCUGUGGUGAAGUAUUAAGUGCCAGUCCUCUCUGAAAACCUCAAAAGCUAACGUGAAUCGCUGUCCGUAUAUUCUGAAGCCUUGAGAUAUUACAUAAAUCACUGACUUCCGGGAGGUGCACUCGUACAUUGUCUUGUGUGAAGGAAUGAGCGCUUAUCCUCACGUGCGCCCUCUGAAAACCUCCAGAGCUACCUUCAAAAGCUGGCUGUGUAUUCUGGGGAUGAAAACAUUGAAGGCGCACUCAUACAAGGUGAAGAAUUAAGCACACAUCCUCACACGCCAAGAUGAAUGGUUCGCUGUGUACUCUGGGGAUGGAUGCAGCUCGUGUCAAGGUGUUCUCUUUCCAGAAUAACCUUGAGUCUUCAUAAUUAAUAAGCCCCGGCUGGGAGAGAUUCAGCUGCCCCACUGCCCUUUACACUCCCGCCGCCAGCCACUCUGUUGUGAGCACCGUGGACGUGGGCACUGCUGCCAGCGUAGGUGUGGCUGUUGCUUCCUGACUAAACUAAAGUGUUUUUUUUCUGAAACACGACAUAGUAAACACCUAAGAAAACCUGAACACAUCGAAGGCAAACGAAAGAAAAUUAAGUUGACGAAAAAUUUUGCGGCAUGUGGAAGCUUUAAAUGCCGUGAAUGAUCCCUGGCCAGUGCGCAUCGCUGUGUUUACAUCCCCACGCCACCAUGCGAUCUCACCUCUUCGUCCCCCUGGUCAACCCCUUCGUACCCAAACCCCACGGAGUGUACGUUGUCCUCCAGGAACGACAACCGAGAGUCCGUGACAUCUCCGCAGGGCGCUCAAGGACUAAGCAGAGGGAGGUGUUCCACGCGCCCUUCUGCACCACCUGGUUCUGUACGGCCUGGACGGGGCUCUUCUGCCCGCUCUGCCUCGCCUGCCACUCCUGCUUCCAGAGGGACAAGGACUCACUCAAGGUCUCCCUCAAAACCAUCGCACAGAACUUCAGGGACCGCGGCGUCACUUUCAAGGUGAGGAGCUGCAGCAGCAUUUGCAGCAGCAGCAGCAGCAGCAUGGCAGAGCAGAGGCCCGGGGUGGGAGGCAGAAGGCAGUGUGCUCGUCAAGUUUGUCACCACGGAGAACCAAUACACAGUGGUGGGCACCUCAGUGCUGGUGGGAGUGAACAGCAACCUUACUAGUCUGAAUGAAAUUGUCCACGUGUUCAUGAGAUGAGACCGUCACCACGAGCUGCCCUGCCUCAUUAUGCUCUCUUCACCUUUUUGAGUUUUGUUGGACAUGUAUGCAAGGGAAGAUUGUUAGAGGAUAGGCACAAUUUUAGUUAUAUGAAGGUGUGUCUUACCUCAAGGAAUAAUUGGAUCACACUAAGGAACGCAGUGAAUCUUUCGUGUCGCCAAGUUUGGUGUGUGACCCACUGCGAGUUUGUUUUGGUACAUGCAACAUAAGCGUCGUCAGCUUGUAUAAUGGCAGGUCAAGUUGGGCAAUGCAAGUGCAUGCUGGAAGGAAGCUGUCGUCUGCUGGCCUUUGGAUUAUCAACUUGGGAGCCUGGGUGUGUGUGUGUGUCAAAGAGAAUCAGUUUGAAAGUGAUAGAAAGAAGGAAGAGGAGAAGAUAGAUGAUAAUAAGGAAGGAAGAGAAAGAGAGAGAGAGAGAGAGAGAGAGAGAGAGAGAGAGAGAGAGAGAGAGAGAGAGAGAGAGAGAGAGAGAGAGAGAGAGAGAGAGAGAGAGAAAGACAAAGAAGGAAGAGGACAUGAGAGAAGACAAAGAAGGAAGAGGACAUGAGAGAAGAACAAGGAUAAUAGAAGAGGAAGAAAAAAAAAAGAAAUGAGAGAAGAUAGAGGAGAGAGAGAAAGAUAGAAAAGGUAAAGAAAUAAAAGAAAAAUUCUCUCUCUCUCUCUCUCUCUCUCUCUCUCUCUCUCUCUCUCUCUCUCUCUCUCUCUCUCUCUCUCUCUCUCUCCAUGCCUAGGAGAGGAACCUGAUCAGUCCCUGUGAGAAAUUUUGCAACAUUUUCUUUUUAGGCAAGAGUUCAUGAAUACUCGUAUUUCCCAAAAAGUGCAGGUGACUGGAUGGUCUGGGAAGUAUUCACUCUGGAAAUACAGUGAGGGGUUAAUAAAAGGAAGAAUACUGGGAACUGUGUGUUAGUUUAGAUUCCUGUGGUAUGUGGAUGGAAGGACUGGGUGAAUAUAGACAGCAGAAGAGGUGAGGAGUGUAUGCUAACUAAAGGCAGGAAGUGAAGGACUGGAUAAAUACUAGACAGAAGAGGUGAUAGAAGCAAUGGACUAGAUAUACAGAGACAAAGAAGGGCUGGAUAAAUAUUAGACAAGAGGUGAUAGAGGCAAAGAAGGGCUAGAUAUGUAGAGACAAGGAAGGGCUGGAUAAAUAGAGGUGACAGAGGCAAAGACUACACUAAUAAUGAAAAAUAUAUUAAAUGAAUGGCAGAGAGGAUGAAAGAGUGAAGAACAACUAAAAUGAAUGAUAAACGUGAAAACACACACAAGCCUAUCAACACCCAAACAC